rnacentral:rRNA from 1 species
UACGUAGGGUGCGAGCGUUAAUCGGAGUUACUGGGCGUAAAGCGUGCGCAGGUGGUCAUGCAAGACAGAUGUGAAAUCCCCGGGCUUAACCUGGGAACUGCAUUUGUGACUGCACGGCUAGAGUGCGGCAGAGGGGGAUGGAAUUCCGCGUGUAGCAGUGAAAUGCGUAGAGAUGUGGAGGAACACCGAUGGCGAAGGCAGCCACCUGGGGUAUCCCUGACGCUGAGGCACGAAAGCGUGGGGAGCAAACAGG